UACGUAGGUGUCGAGCGUUGUCCGGAUUUAUUGGGCGUAAAGAGCCCGCAGGCGGCUUGGCAAGUUUGAGGUGAAAUCUCCCGGCUUAACUGGGAGGGGGCCUCGAAAACUGCCAGGCUUGAGGCAUGGAGAGGGAUGCGGAAUUCCCGGUGUAGUGGUGAAAUGCGUAGAGAUCCGGAGGAACACCAACGGCGAAGGCAGCGCCCUGGACGAGACCUGACGCUCAGGCACGAAAGCUGGGGGAGCAAACAGG
rnacentral:rRNA from 1 species